GAUGAACGCUGGCGGCGUGCCUAAUACAUGCAAGUCGAGCGAACGGACGGGAAGCUUGCUUCUCUGAUGUUAGCGGCGGACGGGUGAGUAACACGUGGAUAACCAACCUAUAAGACUGGGAUAACUUCGGGAAACCGUAGCUAAUACCGGAUAAUAUUUUGAACCGCAUGGUUCAAAAGUGAAAGACGGUCUUGCUGUCACUUAUAGAUGGAUCCGCGCUGCAUUAGCUAGUUGGUAAGGUAACGGCUUACCAAGGCAACGAUGCAUAGCCGACCUGAGAGGGUGAUCGGCCACACUGGAACUGAGACACGGUCCAGACUCCUACGGGAGGCAGCAGUAGGGAAUCUUCCGCAAUGGGCGAAAGCCUGACGGAGCAACGCCGCGUGAGUGAUGAAGGUCUUCGGAUCGUAAAACUCUGUUAUUAGGGAAGAACAUAUGUGUAAGUAACUGUGCACAUCUUGACGGUACCUAAUCAGAAAGCCACGGCUAACUACGUG
rnacentral:rRNA from 1 species